rnacentral:rRNA from 1 species
UACGAAGGGGGCUAGCGUUGCUCGGAAUUACUGGGCGUAAAGCGCACGUAGGCGGCUUUCUAAGUCGGGGGUGAAAUCCUGGAGCUCAACUCCAGAACUGCCUUUCGAUACUGGAGAGCUCGGAGUCCGGGAGAGGUGAGUGGAACUGCGAGUGUAGAGGUGAAAUUCGUAGAUAUUCGCAAGAACACCAGUGGCGAAGGCGGCUCACUGGCCCGGUACUGACGCUGAGGUGCGAAAGCGUGGGGAGCAAACAGG